GUCGGUAUAGUUCAGUGGUAGAAUUCAGGGAAUUUUUUGUAUUCCCCUGAGCCCCAAGGUUCGAUUCCUUGGUGCCGACC